rnacentral:rRNA from 1 species
UACGGAGGGUGCGAGCGUUGUCCGGAAUCACUGGGCGUAAAGGCGCGUAGGCGGCCUGAUAAGUAGGGGGUGAAAUCCUGAGGCUUAACCUCAGGGCUGCCUUCUAAACUGUCAGGCUCGAGCACAGUAGAGGCAGGUGGAAUUCCCGGUGUAGCGGUGGAAUGCGUAGAUAUCUGGAGGAACACCGGUGGCGAAGGCGGCAUCCUGGACCAACACUGACGCUGAGUGAGCGAAAGCCAGGGGAGCAAACGGGAUUAGAUACCUACUAG